rnacentral:rRNA from 1 species
GACGAACCGUGCAAACGUUAUUCGGAAUCACUAGGGCUUAAAGGGCGCGUAGGCGGGCGCACAAGUCAGGGGUGAAAGCCCACGGCUCAACCGUGGAAGUGCCUUUGAUACUGUGUGUCUGGAGGGAGGUAGGGGCGUGCGGAACUUCCGGUGGAGCGGUGAAAUGCGUAGAUAUCGGAAGGAACACCGGUGGCGAAAGCGGCGCGCUGGACCUCUUCUGACGCUGAGGCGCGAAAGCCAGGGGAGCAAACGGG